rnacentral:rRNA from 1 species
UGCUUACACAUGCAAGUCGAACGAUGAACCACUUCGGUGGGGAUUAGUGGCGAACGGGUGAGUAACACGUGGGCAAUCUGCCCUGCACUCUGGGACAAGCCCUGGAAACGGGGUCUAAUACCGGAUACUGAUCCUCGCGGGCAUCUGCGAGGUUCGAAAGCUCCGGCGGUGCAGGAUGAGCCCGCGGCCUAUCAGCUUGUUGGUGAGGUAAUGGCUCACCAAGGCGACGACGGGUAGCCGGCCUGAGAGGGCGACCGGCCACACUGGGACUGAGACACGGCCCAGACUCCUACGGGAGGCAGCAGUGGGGAAUAUUGCACAAUGGGCGAAAGCCUGAUGCAGCGACGCCGCGUGAGGGAUGACGGCCUUCGGGUUGUAAACCUCUUUCAGCAGGGAAGAAGCGAAAGUGACGGUACCUGCAGAAGAAGCGCCGGCUAACUACGUGCCAGCAGCCGCGGUAAUACGUAGGGCGCAAGCGUUGUCCGGAAUUAUUGGGCGUAAAGAGCUCGUAGGCGGCUUGUCACGUCGGUUGUGAAAGCCCGGGGCUUAACCCCGGGUCUGCAGUCGAUACGGGCAGGCUAGAGUUCGGUAGGGGAGAUCGGAAUUCCUGGUGUAGCGGUGAAAUGCGCAGAUAUCAGGAGGAACACCGGUGGCGAAGGCGGAUCUCUGGGCCGAUACUGACGCUGAGGAGCGAAAGCGUGGGGAGCGAACAGGAUUAGAUACCCUGGUAGUCCACGCCGUAAACGGUGGGCACUAGGUGUGGGCAACAUUCCACGUUGUCCGUGCCGC